rnacentral:rRNA from 1 species
AUUGAACGCUGGCGGCAGGCCUAACACAUGCAAGUCGAGCGAGCGGCGGACGGGUGAGUAAUGUAUGGGGACUGCCCGAUAGAGGGGGAUAACUACUGGAAACGGUAGCUAAUACCGCAUACUAUCGGAUAACCCAUAUGGGAUUAGCUAGUAGGUGAGGUAAUGGGUCACCUAGGCGACGAUCCCUAGCUGGUCUGAGAGGAUGAUCAGCCAGACUGGGACUGAGACACGGCCAAGACGCGUACGGAGGCAGCAGUGGGGAAGAUGGCACAAUGGGCGCAGGCCUGAUGCAGCCAUGCCGCGUGUAUGAAGAGGGCCCUAGGGUGGUAAGGUACUGUCAGUCGGGAGGCGGUACCGACAGAAGAAGCACCGGCUAACUCCGUGCCAGCAGCCGCGGUAAUAC